rnacentral:rRNA from 1 species
GAUGAACGCUGGCGGCGUGCCUAAUACAUGCAAGUCGAGCGAACAGACGAGUAGCUUGCUCCUCUGACGUUAGCCGCGGACGGGUGAGUAACACGUGUAUAACCUACCUAUAAGUCUGGUAUAACUUCGGGAAACCGGAGCUAAUACCGUAUAAUAUAUUGAACCACAUGGUUCAAUAGUGAAAGACUGUUUUGCUUUCACGUAUAGAUGGAUCCUCGCCGCAUUAGCUAGUUAGUAAGGUAACGGCCUACCAAGGCAACGAUGCGUAGCCGAGCUGACAGAGUGAUAGCCCACACUGGAGGUGAGCCACGCUCAAGACGACUAAGGGAGGCCGCAGAAGGGAAUGUUCGGCAAUGGGCGAAAGCCUGACGGAGCAACGCAGAGUGAGUGAUGAAGGUCUUCGGAUAGUAAUACUCUGUUACUAGGGAAGAACAAAUGUGAACGUAAAUAUGCACGUAUUGACGGUACCUACUCAGAAAGCCACGGCUAACUACGUG